rnacentral:rRNA from 1 species
GGGUGGUAAUACCGGAUGCUCCGCUCCAUCGCAUGGUGGGGUGGGAAAUGCUUUUGCGGCAUGGGAUGGGGUCGCGUCCUAUCAGCUUGUUGGCGGGGUGAUGGCCCACCAAGGCGUUGACGGGUAGCCGGCCUGAGAGGGUGACCGGCCACAUUGGGACUGAGAUACGGCCCAGACUCCUACGGGAGGCAGCAGUGGGGAAUAUUGCACAAUGGGCGCAAGCCUGAUGCAGCGACGCCGCGUGCGGGAUGGAGGCCUUCGGGUUGUAAACCGCUUUUGUUCAAGGGCAAGGCACGGUUUCGGCCGUGUUGAGUGGAUUGUUCGAAUAAGCACCGGCUAACUACGUGCCAGCAGCCGCGGUAAUACGUAGGGUGCGAGCGUUAUCCGGAUUUAUUGGGCGUAAAGGGCUCGUAGGCGGUUCGUCGCGUCCGGUGUGAAAGUCCAUCGCCUAACGGUGGAUCUGCGCCGGGUACGGGCGGGCUGGAGUGCGGUAGGGGAGACUGGAAUUCCCGGUGUAACGGUGGAAUGUGUAGAUAUCGGAAAGAAACACCA